GGCGGUGAUUUAACUAAUCAGAGGAAUUUGCCCUGUGAUCGAUAGUCCCCGAGGAUUCCACUUAAGUUUGUAGUCAGCUUGUAUACCGCCGUCAUCAGAAAAUUUUAAGAAAAAUUUCCUAAAUCUUGUAGAAGAGUAUGUCAGGUCAAGGUGCAGUUAAUGUUUAAGUAGUAGGUGAAUUACAAUAAAAUAAUUUAUUACGGACUAAUUUAUGGAAAAUUUUAGGAAGGUGGAUU
rnacentral:rRNA from 1 species